rnacentral:rRNA from 1 species
GGGGAAUAUUGCGCAAUGGGGGAAACCCUGACGCAGCAAUACCGCGUGAGUGAAGAAGGUUUUCUGAUCGUAAAGCUCUGUUAUUGGGGAAGAAAAAAAGACGGUACCCAAGAAGAAAGUCCCGGCUAACUACGUGCCAGCAGCCGCGGUAAUACGUAGGGGACAAGCGUUGUCCGGAUUUACUGGGCGUAAAGGGCACGCAGGCGGUUUUUUAAGUCAGAUGUGAAAACUAUGGGCUCAACCCAUAGCCUGCAUUUGAAACUGUUUUUCUUGAGUGUCGGAGAGGUAAUCGGAAUUCCGUGUGUAGCGGUGAAAUGCGUAGAUAUACGGAGGAACACCAGUGGCGAAGGCGGAUUACUGGACGAUAACUGACGCUGAGGCGCGAAAGCGUGGGGAGCAAACA